rnacentral:rRNA from 1 species
UGUAAGCGUAUACCAAAGUUGUUGCAGUUAAAACGCUCGUAGUCGGAAUUUGGCAGUUCCGGAUGUGUGCACGUCGUGUGCGCACUUCGCGGGGAUUGCUUUUGUGGUCUUGCGUAGGAUGAGGCACUUUUAUUAGUGAACGUCCUCACGCAACCACUUUUUACUGUGAGAAAAUCAGAGUGCUCAAAGCAGGCAUUUGCCGUGAAUGUAUUAGCAUGGAAUAAUAGAAUAGGACUUGGUUCUAUUUUGUUGGUUUGUUGGGACUGAGUAAUGAUUAAGAGGGACAGUUGGGGGCAUUUGUAUUUCGGGGCUAGAGGUGAAAUUCUUAGAUUACCGAAAGACAAACUGCUGCGAAAGCGUCUGCCAAGGAUGUUUUCAUUGA